rnacentral:tRNA from 1 species
GGAGGAGUGGCUGAGCGACCGAAAGCAGCACACUGCUAAUGUGCUGAACGGGAAACCGUUCCGCAGGUUCGAAUCCUGCCGCCUCCG